GUAUGAACACUAGCGUCGCCUUCAAUUUGUAAAUCCACGAACUGUGUCUCUGAGCUGCUUUACCUCGCACUAGGAUGCCAUCCCACCGCUUGCCACCAAUGUAACGGAUCGCCUGGCACCCCGACUGGGUACCUCCGUUGAAGGAUGCUCCUAGCGCUUCCUGAGGACUCCAAGCACUCUGGCAGACACCACAAUCACCGAACCGGAGAAACAAAUAAAUUCUCCCAAGCAUAUGAAUGCUGUAGACAGUUGAAUAAGAACCAUACGAAUAGGUUUACUCUCCUAGCAGUCAAACUGGAACAGCAUACAAUAAAUCCUUCCCCCAAUAAUGAGACGACACUUCACUUUGAGGGUUAAAACAGGAACUCCCUGUACUGUCACAUACAGUCUCUUUUAUUUCCAAUCCACAAACAUAGUACAGCCCACAGGGCGUUACAAAACAACCAAUCAAUCCGUACAAUACACCCAGACACUCCCACACAAACUCCUCCCCUCUGCCUGUGAUAUGAUUACUGAACACAAUGGGUAAUCUCAUUAUCACCGGCAGAGGAAUACAGUUUUUACACAAUAUUUAUAACUUCUAAAAUAUACAUGUCACAAACAUAAAACAUACAUUUUCAUAAUCAAUCCAUUCAGGG